AUUGAACGCUGGCGGCAGGCCUAACACAUGCAAGUCGAACGAGUGGCGGACGGGUGAGUAAUGUCUGGGAAACUGCCUGAUGGAGGGGGAUAACUACUGGAAACGGUAGCUAAUACCGCAUACCAUCGGAUGUGCCCAGAUGGGAUUAGCUAGUCGGUGGGGUAACGGCUCACCUAGGCGACGAUCCCUAGCUGGUCUGAGAGGAUGACCAUCCACACUGGAACUGGGACACUGUCCAGACUGCUACGGGAGGCAUCAGUGGGGAAUAUUGCACAAUGGGCGCAAGCCUGAUGCAUCCAUUCCGCGUGUAUGAAGAAGGCCUUCGGGUUGUAAAGUACUUUCAGCGGGGAGGCGUUACCCGCAGAAGAAGCACCGGCUAACUCCGUGCCAGCAGCCGCGGUAAUAC
rnacentral:rRNA from 1 species